UACGUAGGGUGCGAGCGUUGUCCGGAAUUAUUGGGCGUAAAGAACUCGUAGGCGGUGUGUCACGUCGGCCGUGAAAACCUGCAGCUUAACUGUGGGCGUGCGGUCGAUACGGGCAUCACUGGAGUUCGGCAGGGGAGACUGGAAUUCCUGGUGUAGCGGUGAAAUGCGCAGAUAUCAGGAGGAACACCGGUGGCGAAGGCGGGUCUCUGGGCCGAUACUGACGCUGAGGAGCGAAAGCGUGGGGAGCAAACAGG
rnacentral:rRNA from 1 species